rnacentral:tRNA from 1 species
GUUACCGAAGGGUAGACUGGUUAACCCAGCGGCCUGUGGAGCCGCGGAUCGCGGGUUCAAGUCCCGCCCCGGGCCCU